UACACUUUGCAUGUGAUUAAUGUUCAUGGUGGAUCAUAAAACUGCAUGCAAACAUUUCUGCAAGACUCCAUUGACACCUACAGGGAAUGAUCACGUGUCAUUUAGCCAGAACAUUCACAGAGGAACUAAUCAGUCAAUUGGUACUACACUGAGACUAUACUUGGUUAGUUCAAAAUGAAACAGGUAAAUAUGCCUAACACUGGUUACGUCUCACCAGACUGAAGACAGAGGAGCUUACUCUGUGCAUACAGGCUCCCAGCUUGAGUCUGUACAAGUCUGAUCCACCUUGCCAAGCAGCCAGGGCCCCAGCUGAAACUCAAGAGAAGGCCAGCCAAACUCAGGAGAACGCAUAUGUCUUUCUAGACAGUAGUCAAAUCUAACAACUUCAAUAAGAGGUUUUAACCGAUGCAUUUGAAAAUGAAAUGUGAUAAGGAAAUUAUGUUCUUCCUCAGCUGGUGUAUUGAAUGUACAGAGAAAAUAUCUGACAAAUUGAAGAUGAUGGCAUUUAAGAUGGAUCAGGGUGCCCCAAUAAUCCAGCGCAAACAUGAAGGGAACUUACCUAGAAUGUUUUUACAGAACAAGUUAAGGACCAAGAUGAUCACUACACAUGACUUCCAAGAUGUAUUUUAAAAUUUAAAAGCUAUUUUUUAAACCGAGUUAUUCUCGUAUUAAUCCACAUAAAUGAUUUUCAUUUAAUAUAAACCCAUCCAGUCUUCACCUGGAGAUA